UCUCUCAUUUUCUAUAAUCAGAGCUCUGCAAAAUAGCAAUUCACCGAAUAUCGAGUGAUUUCGAGUCGCAAAAAGAUACUUAAUAGGUUAUGUAGUUCGUGUGUGUGUGGUUUUGAUCCAUAUCUUGUGGUGUUUUGUGAAGAUUUGCAUCCUCUGGUAACUGGUUGUUCAAUACGGUCGUUAUGUUACAAGAGAUCAUCACCAUGUUUGCGAACAUCACGAUGUUGGAAAUAUGUGAAGAAUCCAGUUAGAAGAUUUAGGGUUGAAGAAUAUGAUACUAAUAAGGUUAGGUUUUUUGAUAAUAUAAGUGUGAAUUUUGGUGGAUUGAACGUGUCUUUGAACUUAUCAAACCAUUUCGUAGUUUUGAGGCUAUGUGGAAAAUUCGAAUCGAAGCCAGCAGAGCUCUUCUUGAUCUUGAAUUCAGCUGUAAAGGCAUUGAUGAUGCAUCGUCAUUGUUCCUAAGUUAUUUGAUGGAAGAGGUGUCUUUGCGAGUUGUAGAACUUCAUAUUUGGACUUCUUGUUGGAUUCUGGUUCAAGUUCAUAUGUUUCAAAUUGCUUGAUUUAUUCUAGGCUAGACGGCACAUAUCUAACUCCAAAAUCCAUAUAAUCAUAACUCUUCUUGUCCUGAGCAGGGAGCCAAAAGAAUGGUUACUGAGUGGCCGGACCUUGAUUUAGAAGCACGCCGAUUCACUGCUAGAAUUACUGGUGAGGAAAUAAAUGAUGCAAAGAGACUGUAACAACUUCAACUCAGGCAAAGAGUGAAGCAAGCUCUAUUGUAGAAGAAGAUAAAGAAUCCCAGUCAGAGUUGUAACAAAAUUUCAUGUGAUCAUCAAUACUUAUUUUUUGAGAUCACCAGAAAUUUAGCAAUAUUGGAAUGUCAGAUUAUUCCAUGGCCGUGUCUCCGCUGCUCUAUAAAUGUAAGAUUUAGGUUAGCUUCUCAUUUCUCACCUGCAAAGAUAAAAUUGCAAGUGGUCACCAUGUGAUAUACAGUAACCAAUACAAGUAAGAGAAGAGGUUAAAACAAACCCUCUCAGGAUAGUCAGAUUAGUCAAGUACGGAAGAAGUUUUGCAGCUAA